UCAGUUCAUAUUGGAAUCGGAAAUGAAGUGUUUGGACGAUAUCGGAGUUAAUAUCGGACAUCCCUCCUUUUAAGCCGUAUCAAUUUCACUCUGUGUGCUUUUGUCUUUUACUUUUGUGCACUGAUUGAUAUUGAAUGGAUUAUUGUACAAAAAAAAAAAAAAACAACGACGUAGUGAGUGUUUCUGGUUCACUCACCUGAUUUUUAGGCAAAAAAAAAAUCUGGAUUCCUUGAGGCGGAGAAAAAUGGCGGCUUUGUUUUGUAGUGGUUACGAUAGCGUUGUUGUGCUUCGGUUUGUUUCCUUUGUCGUUUUAGUGGCAGAAACCCUAAAUCAGUAACUUAGUUUAGUCGACCAUCAGAUGUUCACAGGUCGAGUUUCAAGUGUUCCAGAACUUUCGACCGAUCUAGGGCAAAUGUAAAUGCUUGAAACCCGACAGACCCACGUAGGCUUUCGUGAUAUGUGAGGCUUUGAAGUCGCUGCGGAGUUCGUUCUUUUCUUAGGUAUAUGUGAGUAAUUUUUUUAAUAUUUUGAAGUUUGAGUAGAGAGGAACACAGUUCUGGUUUGGUGCUGGUCUGGUAAAAAGAAACAGAUUUCAUUUUUAACUUUUAGUAAAAUAGAGUCAUCUGCAUAUACGUUGACAUUUACCGGAACAGACGCCCAUGUUUAUGGAGAAAAUAUUCCAUGGUUCCUUUAAAUCUCUUAAAUAAAAUAGUCUAAAAAAAUCUUCAAUAAGGGGUAGACGCCCCCUAGGGGUCCUCAGAGGUACUGUUGUUGAGGUCGUUGUUGAAUUCCAACCAAUGUAUUCAAACUGGUCAUAUUUUGUUAGGAGUAAAGAUAAUAUUAAAGAUUAAAUUAGCUGUUGUUGGAAAUAUUAUAACAGAACAGUUAGCAUCUGUUUCGGUAAAUUCACUACUCAUAUACGUAUGUCAGCGUCGUCCCCGACUUUCACAUCUGAUGCUAACACACUGUCUUUCUGUUUCUGCGUAGAGAUGUUUGUUGUAUUCUACUGUAAAAGAAUGAAUUUGACGUUUGAUUUUUUUGGUCUUGGCGCUAACAUGACAGAGAGGAGUACGCAGGUCCCGAAAGUACUGGAGGUACUUGGACAAAUGUAACGGUAAACUGUAUUAUUGUAUAUAGCAGAUGUUUAAACAGAGAUUUAUGCAAGUGGUUCAGGAGGCAGUCGUUGAUGGACUUUGUGACAAAUUCUUAGUUUCAUAGAGUUUUCGGACGACAUUUUUUUUAUGUCACUAUUAUCCUGAACAUCUCGUUCUACAGUGUUAAAGAUGAGAGAGAUGAACGGGCAGGAUUUAGCACCCAAAACAAGCUAACUCAUCUACAAAAUAAUGAGGUCGUUCAUCUGGUUACACUCGUCGUAACGUAGAAUUGAUAAAAAUGUCUGUCACAAAAAUUAUAAAAACUAAUGGCGGUUCAAGUUAGUUUGGACAAACAGUUGACGGUUUAAACACCAAUUUUUGUGGCUUUUGGUAUUUUUUUCGAAUCAAUUUGAAUUUACGUAGCGUUUGUCCGUGUUAGCGUCCAAAUAUCGGCUGCUCAUAUUAAGCAAAAUUAAUAUUUAAGUGAUACCCGGAGAGGUUACGAAUUUUAGCAGUCAAACUUGGCAAUGACUGUUUCUAAGUUCGGCUAAGUUGAGGAACGUUAGCUGUUUACGUAGACAAUGAUAGCAGCAGGUCCUAGUAGCGGCUAGUCCAGCCAAAAUAUUAGCCUAGUUUGGCUAUGGUUAAGCUAAGUUUAACCUUGAAGAAGCAGAAACGUUUAGCUACGAUAGAGGUGAAAAGUUUGCUUUGACUGCUGCUCACUUAAUAUCUGACAUUAGCUACGUAGCUUUAGGUGUGACAGCAAUUAAAGUUGGCUAUGACGGCUACUUUGUUAGCAGUUGAGUUGGGCUACGUUAGCUGCUACGACAGCUGCUAUGCUUGGAUUUGGUUGCUGCUAAAUCAUUUGCCGCUAAAUACGGAAAUGGUUGUUUUCUUUUGGGGAUUAGGGACGACAAAGGUAUCACUAAUUUUAGCAAAGUGAAGCAACAAAUCUGAUUUAGGCGCUAACCUCAGCCUGAGACACGAAGUAAAAUCGGUCACUGACGUGUUGUUUGACGACGUCUACAAACAGAGAGGGAUUUCUGAACAGUUCUAACCCUGCGUUUUCACCGUUAAUGUUUAUAUUUGACAAAAAUGGAAAUUAGAAGAAAGUACAUUUUGAGGUUGAACUUUUAUGAACCUUUUUUUCCCUGUAAAUUCUUUGGUAAACUGUAUUUUUCAGACGUUACCAAAGGAGAUAAGAGCCAUAAACUAAGACAAAAACAAUAAAACGUAAAGAUGCAAAACACAGAGUAAUAACAAACACGGCCAAAUAACCAAACAAGAGUCUUUGAAUUAUGAAUUAAAGAUGUAGAAAAACUGCGAUAUGAUGCACAGACGAAAUACCAUAAGUACGGUAUGUGUACUUUUUAGCACUUUUACGUAUAAAACCUACCAGAAACUAUAACAACGACGAGCAGAAUAAAAUGCAAAGAUGCCGUUGAAUCUUUGGAUUCUCUAAAUGUGCAGGACUUAAAGCCAGAAACCUUUUAUUUUGUGGGAAUUAAAGCUCUUACAUUUGAAAAAAAAAAAAAAGUACCAGCAGUCAAACAAAAAUGUACAUUUACCAAAAAAAAAAUAAUAAAGGAACAUUUCUGACUUCGUAGUAGUACUUCGAAAGUUCAAAAUACCAAUGGUGUAUUUUAUUUUUAAUCUCCAUAUUUUUUGUGCUGGUGCAAUUUUCAGGGAUACAUGGAGCACUGGGGUAAAAUAAUAAAUCUGGGGGCGGGGGCCUUGUUAUGGACAGGACUUCUAAAGAAUAUUUUCUACAACCUGUGACAAAUAUUUGACAUGAAUACUAUGAGUUUUUUUUUAUUUGUCUCAUUCCUGAGUCCAGUUCUGCUCCUGACGUGUUUGUCUGUGGAUACUGUGGGACAGGAAGUGGAGUGUGUAUCGGUACCUGGUACCGAUGGUGUGUUGACUCAUACUCCGUGUACAAACUCAUGUUCAUGCUAACAUCUUGUAUCGACUCCAUAUAAAAAGAGGGCAGCGUUUUCUCAGAAGGGUCACGUGCAACAUCGAGCUGUUUUAACGGUUAGCGGCGGGAAGCUAACAGUUAAGCGAUGGACUGACUGUAACGUAGUUUUCUCCGUCCGUUUUCUCUGCCGUUUGAGCCAUGUGAUGAUGCUGCGACGUCGUGACCACGCUGAUGCUGAUGGUGGUGAUGAUAAUGAUGAUGUCAUGAUUUACCCAGCCUGCCUGAGGGCCCCACACCUGACCGCUGGCUGGGAGGGUCACUGUUGGGUGAGGGUGGGGGGGAAGGGGGUCACAGUGACAACUUUGAAUGCUGUUGGAUGUAGUUAUGCAGAAAAAAAAUUAACACAUUUUUGGUGAAUUUGAAACAAUAAAGACAAUAAAAAUUA